UACGGGGGGGGGCAAGCGUUGUUCGGAAUUACUGGGCGUAAAGGGCGCGUAGGCGGCUCGCUAAGUCGGAUGUGAAAACUCUGGGCUCAACCCAGAGCCUGCAUUCGAAACUGACGAGCUCGAGUUCUGGAGGGGAAAGCGGAAUUCCUGGUGUAGCGGUGAAAUGACGUAGAUAUCAGGAGGAACACCGGUGGCGAAGGCGGCUUUCUGGACAGAAACUGACGCUGAUGCGCGAAAGCUAGGGGAGCAAACAGG
rnacentral:rRNA from 1 species